rnacentral:misc_RNA from 1 species
AAGACUAUAGACCUGCGGAGUACCUGCGGAGGGAUCAUUAACGUAUCUAUGAUGGGGUGCGGAGCGCCCUGCUCCGGUCGAACGGCCGUGCAGCGGGUGCGCCGCCCCCGUCCCACCUCACAAACCCACUGUGAACAUUCUCCGGUGGAGGGGGCUCGGUCUGCGCCGUGUCCCCGAUGCCGAAUACCCAAACUCCAGUUGCAAAGAACGUCGUGCGGACUCGGUGCCGCCUAAAACAUG